ACGGGUGAGUAACGCGUGGGAACGUGCCUUCCGGUUCGGAAUAACCCUGGGAAACUAGGGCUAAUACCGGAUACGCCCUUAUGGGGAAAGGUUUACUGCCGGAAGAUCGGCCCGCGUCUGAUUAGCUAGUUGGUGGGGUAACGGCCUACCAAGGCGACGAUCAGUAGCUGGUCUGAGAGGAUGAUCAGCCACACUGGGACUGAGACACGGCCCAGACUCCUACGGGAGGCAGCAGUGGGGAAUAUUGGACAAUGGGCGCAAGCCUGAUCCAGCCAUGCCGCGUGAGUGAUGAAGGCCUUAGGGUUGUAAAGCUCUUUUAUCCGGGACGAUAAUGACGGUACCGGAGGAAUAAGCCCCGGCUAACUUCGUGCCAGCAGCCGCGGUAAUACGAAGGGGGCUAGCGUUGCUCGGAAUCACUGGGCGUAAAGGGCGCGUAGGCGGCGUUUUAAGUCGGGGGUGAAAGCCUGUGGCUCAACCACAGAAUGGCCUUCGAUACUGGGACGCUCGAGUAUGGUAGAGGUUGGUGGAACUGCGAGUGUAGAGGUGAAAUUCGUAGA
rnacentral:rRNA from 1 species